UUCAGACUUUGAAGCAGUUGCAGUCAUUUUUUGCUAUUGCAUCAUCAUCAAGAUUCAGAAAUCAUAUUCCUUGAUGGGUUCUCCUUCGAGCCUGUCUUUUUUGGUUUGAGAAUCUUGAUGAUGCUGCAGCGGCGAUUAAAUGGCUUUUUUAU